CGUUCCCGGGCCUUGUACACACCGCCCGUCACACCACGAGAGUUUGUAACACCCGAAGUCGGUGGGGUAACCUUUUUGGAGCCAGCCGCCUAAGGUGGGACAGAUGAUUGGGGUG
rnacentral:rRNA from 1 species